GCUAGAUACCAGACCAUGGGGAAAAUUAAAAAAUACAAAGAGACAGAAGCUAAGCGAGGUUGGGCCUGGUUAGUACUUGGAUGGGAGACCACUUAGGAAGACCAGGUGCUGCAGGCG
rnacentral:rRNA from 1 species